GCUUAACACAUGCAAGUCGAACGGAAAGGCCCUUCGGGGUACUCGAGUGGCGACCGGGUGAGUAACACGUGGGUGAUCUGCCCUGCACUUUGGGAUAAGCCUGGGAAACUGGGUCUAAUACCGAAUAUGAUCAUGCACCUCCUGGUGUGUGGUGGAAAGCUUUUGCGGUGUGGGAUGGGCCCGCGGCCUAUCAGCUUGUUGGUGGGGUAAUGGCCUACCAAGGCGACGACGGGUAGCCGGCCUGAGAGGGUGACCGGCCACACUGGGACUGAGAUACGGCCCAGACUCCUACGGGAGGCAGCAGUGGGGAAUAUUGCACAAUGGGCGCAAGCCUGAUGCAGCGACGCCGCGUGAGGGAUGACGGCCUUCGGGUUGUAAACCUCUUUCAGCACAGACGAAGCGCAAGUGACGGUAUGUGCAGAAGAAGGACCGGCCAACUACGUGCCAGCAGCCGCGGUAAUACGUAGGGUCCGAGCGUUGUCCGGAAUUACUGGGCGUAAAGAGCUCGUAGGUGGUUUGUCGCGUUGUUCGUGAAAACUCACAGCUUAACUGUGGGCGUGCGGGCGAUACGGGCAGACUUGAGUACUGCAGGGGAGACUGGAAUUCCUGGUGUAGCGGUGGAAUGCGCAGAUAUCAGGAGGAACACCGGUGGCGAAGGCGGGUCUCUGGGCAGUAACUGACGCUGAGGAGCG
rnacentral:rRNA from 1 species